AUAAAAGAGGUUUUGCGAAAAAUAGCAUGUCAAGACAGACCAUAACUCGUCGUGUUUGAAGAGCCUUGGAAAUCUAUAGCGGAAACUUCAAUUGCAAACGCGGGAAAAUUUUCAUCGUAUUCCUUGGCGCUUGGCAAAAGCACUGACAUCAAGUUUCCUGCUCAGUUGACAACUUGGCGAUCUUCUUGCGGGGAGUUAAUGAUGAUUUUAAAUUACCAAAGAGCUCGCAGUCAUUGUCCCUAUUAAGCCACGACUGGAGGCAUUGAUUUGUUGGGAGCUAUGAUAAAAAUGAUCAAGCAUCUUCGCUUGCCUUUGGCGAAACUUUCGGGAAUAACCACUGAUGGCGCCCCAUCAAUGGUUGGGAAACAACAGUUUCAUUAUUCUAAUAAUUGUGAAAGUUUGGUGUGAGUGUAUUGUUUGUUUGUUCAUUAACCUGUAGUUUGCGUAAACCAGAACAUAACUACCAUGGAACUACAUGUGGCCCUUUGACGAAAAAGGUUGGCCAACCCUGCUUUAGAGCAUAUUUCAUUUGAUUGUGUUACUUGGAAAGUCGAAACAUUGGCAGAUGCCAUGUUCCUGAUUCUAUUCCAAGUUCCAUCGUGUUGACUGUUUUGAACAAACUACACCGAUUCUAAGUUGAAUUUCAUUGGGACAGUACAUUAAGGCACAGGCAAUAUGCUGAAGAACUUUGCUUUCUAAUAUCAGACACUGGUAACUGAUUCAGAAACAAAUCGUUAACUUCGUGACAGGACUUGUUUAUUUAUUGGGGCGCGUUGUCAACGAUCUCCAACUAAUAAUAAUUAGCUACGAAUGUAAAUUUUCCUUUUUCUUUCGAAUAGUCGGAAACAUUUCUAGAAUAUUGAAUCUGAAGAAUAUACUAACGUGCAAACAGAAGAAUGAACAAGUGUUCAAGUAUUCCAAAUGAAAUGAAACAUUACUAAUGUUUCUAGAGAUGUCCUAUGUCUUAGCAAACGCUAAAAAUUGCGAAAUUAUAACCGCAUAUAGAAUAUAUCUAAAAGAAAACGAAGAGGAAUAAAAAAAACAUAGUUUAGGCUGUCCAACCAACGCCCCAUGCACGGGCCGCGUUCAGCCCGCACUUAAAUGAGUUCAUAAGCAAACACUUUUAAAUGUUUAAAUUUUAGUACCGUAUUUUAUAUAGGCUAAACUUUAGCGGUUCCCAAACUAUGGGUCGCGAACCACUGGUGGGUCGCAAAAGGAAUCUUAGUUGGUCGUGAAAAGAUGUAGAGAGCUUUGGUUAAUCAUACUGGUAAUUAGGAUCGGUGGCGACUCGAAUACGUAAAUCUUCAAAAAAACAAAAUAAAUUAAAUUGAAUUUAAAUUCGAAUCUGUGAUUGGUUCC